rnacentral:rRNA from 1 species
GACGAACGCUGGCGGCGUGCCUAACACAUGCAAGUCGAGCGGGGUUGAAGCGAGGGGUAACUCGAGUUUCUACCUAGCGGCGGACGGGUGAGUAACGCGUGGGCAACCUGCCUCAAGGACUGGGAUAACAGCUCGAAAGGGCUGCUAAUACCGGAUAAGCCUAUGGCCUCGCAUGGGGCCAUGAGCAAAGGGGAAACCCGCCUUGAGAUGGGCCCGCGUCCCAUCAGCUAGUUGGUGAGGUGAAGGCUCACCAAGGCGACGACGGGUAGCCGGCCUGAGAGGGUGACCGGCCACACUGGGACUGAGACACGGCCCAGACUCCUACGGGGGCAGCAGUGGGGAAUCUUGCACAAUGGGCGAAAGCCUGAUGCAGCGACGCCGCGUGAGCGAAGAAGGCCUUCGGGUUGUAAAGCUCUGUCUGGAGGGACGAAGGAAGUGACGGUACCUCCGGAGGAAGCCACGGCUAACUACGUAGGCCAGCAGCCCGCGGUAAUAGUGUGUGUAC